rnacentral:misc_RNA from 1 species
GAAAUGCGAUAAGUAGUGUGAAUUGCAGAAUUCAGUGAAUCAUCGAAUCUUUGAACGCACAUUGCGCCCUUUGGUAUUCCUUAGGGCAUGCCUGUUCGAGCGUCAUCUAAACCUUCAAGCCCUGCUUGGUGUUGGGUGCCUGUCCCGCCUCCGCGCGCGGACUCACCUCAAAUCCAUUGCGGCCCCCGCGUCGGCCACGAGCGCAGCAGAAACGCGAACUCGUGAGCCCGUCCGGGCGGCUCCCAGAAGCUACACCCACCCAGUUUGACCUCGGAUCAGGUAGGGAUACCCGCUGAACUUAAGC